UGGGGGAUCUUGCGCAAUGGGCGAAAGCCUGACGCAGCGACGCCGCGUGGGGGAUGAAGGCCCUCGGGUUGUAAACCCCUUUCGGCAGGGACGAAGCGAUUGUGACGGUACCUGCAGAAGAAGCUCCGGCUAACUACGUGCCAGCAGCCGCGGUAAGACGUAGGGAGCGAGCGUUGUCCGGAUUUAUUGGGCGUAAAGCGCGCGCAGGCGGCCGCGCAAGUCGGACGUGAAACCCCGAGGCUCAACCUCGGGACUGCAUCCGAUACUGUGUGGCUAGAGGUAGGUAGGGGAGAGCGGAAUUCCUGGUGUAGCGGUGAAAUGCGCAGAUAUCAGGAGGAACACCGGUGGCGAAGGCGGCUCUCUGGGCCUUACCUGACGCUCAGGCGCGAAAGCUAGGGGAGCGAACAG
rnacentral:rRNA from 1 species